UGCCAGCACUCGGCGAGAGCCCGAGCGGCAGCGGCGCAGGGCUCAGCCCCGGGGCGGAGCUGGCGGCGGCCCAGAGGAGGCGGCCCGGCCGCAGCAGAGCCGGGGCUCAGGGCCACAGCGAGGCUCGGCCGGCGGAGCGGCGGCAUGCGGCGGUGUCGGGGCGCGGGGCUGGCGGCGCUGGCCGCGCUGCUGCUCGCGGCCGUGGCCAGAGCCCAGGUACAGCAGCAGCCGUCCCUGGAGACCACCGAGGGCACCGGCAUCAACAUCACCUGCUCACAUCCCCAAAUCCAGAGCAGCGAAUUGAUCUACUGGUACCGUCAGCUCCCUGGCCGAGGACCCGAACUCCUCGUGAGCAUUCACAAAGACUCCAAAGAGCUGCCGGAGAGUGCAGGAAAGCUGUCGGUGUCGGCAGAUCGGCGUUCGAGCGCGCUGUGGCUCGCUGGGCCCCGGCGCGGGGACGCGGCCGUGUAUUACUGCGCGCUGGGGGCCACGGCCAGAGGAGCCGGGGCUGCGGCCGGGCACGAACCGCCGCGGGCGGGGCCGGCCGGGGCCAGCAGGGGGCGCUGCCGCUUCGCCCGCCGGGGCCGCCUUUACCUCGCUCGGCCCGGGCUGCCGGGGCGCUGCCGGCACCGGAACCGACAAGAGCACCUCCUAUGGGACCAAGACCAAUACCAGCACCCACACCGGCACCGGUAACGGCAGCUCCAACUUGGAGUCACCGACCUCCCCCAGCCCUCUUCUCAGCACUUGCUUAUUGGGCGUUUGCCCCAACUGCCAGGUCUCCCUGGCACCAACCCCAUCCAAUCCCGAAGUCCUGUGAGCCUCUAAGUGGUUAAGCAAAUCUUUACUUCCUCCGCCUAGAUUACAGGGGUUCCAUGCUUGCCUUCCCUCUCUCCCAGAGCAGGAGGCCAGAUGUCAUGAUGAAAAUCAAUCCUACUCUUCAAAACUGAGGCAAAGAAGGUGCUAACCACCUCAGCCGUUCCAUUGUCUUUGGUGAGUGUAUUCCACUCGAAAGUGGACGGAGCACAGAAGAAAACAACUCUGCUGAGACAUUUGUCAUGUGGAUAAUUUUGUAAGAGAAAGAGGAAGGGAAGGGUCGUCA